GGCAGACGCUUAACCACUGAACCACGCAGGCAUCCCUCUUUCAUCUUAUUUUAAUGCAGAACUACGCUGUGUCCAGUACAGAACCCAGUAGCCACGUGUGGUUAUUUAUAUUUAAAUUAAUUAAAAUUAAAUACAUUUAAAAAUCAGCUCAUCAGUCAUCCUGGCCACAUUCCAAGGUGCUCAGGGGCCACAUGGGCGCCGCUGGUGAACAACCCAGAUGUGACCAUUUCCACCAUCUGUCAGACAACAUCAGUCUGUAAUCUUCUUUUCCUUUUCAUAACAUUGACUUUCUUUCUAACGAGUCCAGGCCAUUGUCUUGUAGACAGUCUCACAGUCUGGAUUGUCCGUUUUUUUCAGUGUUAGUUUCUGGAAGGCCAUGUUUUGGCCAGAGCCCUGCACAGAGGAUGUGUUCCAUCACUAAUUGCAGAAGACUGCUAGUGUUACCUACGGUAUGAGUCGGAAGGCAUCGUUGUUCUAAUCUAUAAAUGGGACAACUGGGGGAUCAGAAGAGGCGAAUUAUGGCCACCAGCUGAAAGAGGUUUCUAACUCCUCAAAACCAAACAAACACUUCGUUUCUGAAUAACUUGUGAGGUAGUCAACAACUUGGGUAAUGUACUUGAAACUCACACAUGUGACAGUCUGUGGCAUAGUCAAGGACAGAAAAACAUGUGGUUGUCCCUGGCCGACCGCAGUUUGGAGCAAUGUUCUCUAUCUACUCGUUCAACAUUCCUUUGCUUCCUUUGAACUCCCUUUGAUGGGAGUUAAGAGAAAAAUAAUUUCUAUAAUGUCCAAAAUAAGGGAAUUUUUUUGGGGGGGGGCAGGUUACUGAGUGUGACAUCACAUUUAAACUUAUUUGGAAUUAUUUUAAGUUUUUAAAAAAAGGUGACCAAUAGCUUGGCAGUAUUAGUCAUCAUACUUAACUAAACAUGAACGUUGCCAUAAAGUCUUUCAAAUUAUGGUUAAGAAAAACCUUUUCUGGCUGGCCAAACUGUUCUCACUUGUCUGCAAUUUCUCUUUUCUUUCAAUUUGUUUGUUUGCUUGUUUUUAAUUUCCUGAAGCCAGUCAUUUUCUUGGGAGCCACAUGAAAAGAUGUUUGUAUCUAGAUAAUGUAAUAAAAUGCAGUAUAAUGUGGUCAGCGGCCCGAUACUGUCCAUUAGUCAGUUUCUGGAUUUUAGCUGGAGGAGAACGGAUUUCAGGAGACUGUCCACUGGCGCUGGUGAAUCUUGGGGCUGGUGUUGUUGUCUGUAAUUAUGUAGCAAAGAUACCAUCAAGGACAGACUGGAGCCUGGGAGGCCUGUUUUAAAUGUCCACUGGAAGAUAUUACCUAUUUCAGUAGACAAUUAACACUGUGCCGUAAUGUAAGGUGUCUCAUGGGCAAAACUGACAUAACAGGUACCACAUUUCUGAUCAUUUCAGCGAUGCCUUUGUCUUCUCUAUAUAAGGCACCUUGGCCAGCUGUUUCAUCUGGCUCCAGGCACGGUGGGAAGGCACUGGGCUGAGAGAAGCCUGGGUGUGAAUAUGUGACCUUGGGCAAGACACUUAACUCCGCUGAGACUCAGUUUCUCUCUUGUAAAAGGGCAAUAACAUCAAUUUUGCAGAGUUAUUAGAAAUAAUAUUGAAGUUGCAAAUGAGGCCAUUAUUAUUUUAAAAAGUAUACGGUAUAGUACAAUAUACUGUGUAUUAAAACAUUAUAUAAAUAAUAAUUAACAAGCAAUUAUCCUCUGUUAGUUCUUAAUAAACCUUGUUAACAUAUUGCUUCUUUGAAGAAUUAGUUCGAGAGCCCAGGCCUGUUAUAAAACACUGAUUUCUGGACGCCUGGGUGGCUCAGUUGGUUAAGCAACUGCUUUUGG